GGCCCGGACACUAUGAGGAUUGACAGAUUAAAAGCUCUUUCUUGAUUUGGUGGUUGGUGGNGCAUGCCCGUUCUUAGUUGGUGGANCGAUUUGUCUGGUUAAUUCNGAUAACGAACGAGACUCCAGCCUGCUAAUUAGUGCAUCUGUCCACUGUGUCUGUGUAGGCGGCAUCCGGCAAGGCUGCUUCCGUCGGCUGUCUUGGUAUGUUUGCCUUCGGGUAUGCGUAGCUUGAUAGUUGGAUGUGGCUGGUUCGGUGUUAGCUUCCGGGCAUGGCGCGGGUGUUAACUUCUUAGAGGGACAAGCGUAAGAAGGCGCACGAAAUUGAGCAAUAACAGGUCUGUGAUGCCCUUAGAUGUCCGGGGCCGCACGCGCGCUACAAUGACGGUGGCAAUGAGUCUGACCUUCUGGCCCGAAAGGGUUGGACAAACUGGUCAAUCACCGUCAUGACAGGGAUCGGGGCUUGGAAUUGUUCCCCGUGAACGAGGAAUUCCUAGUAAGUGCAAGUCAUAAGCUUGCGCUGAUUACGUCCCUGCCCUUUGUACACACCGCCCGUCGCUACUACCGAUUGAAUGGUUUAGUAAGGUCCUUGGAUUGGUGCCAUUGUGGUGGGUGCCGAAAGGUAAUCACCCGAAAGGCGCUGAGAAGACGACCAAACUUGAUCAUUUAGAGGAAGUAAAAGUCGUAACA
rnacentral:rRNA from 1 species